AGGGAGGUUGUUGUUGGUAAGCAUUAGAAAGGCAGAAGAAAAAGUAUACAUGUUAAUGCAAGUUAGUUGCCGUUGUCCAAGAGGUCAUGAAGUGAAACAUAAGCCGGGUCUCCAAAAUAUACAUAUAUUUCACUUUGAGGAACAAUUGCAGUUUAGUAAGGGCAGCUUUUCACUCAAGAGCGCCUGAUUUUGACAAAACAGUCAUCGCAUCAUUUAUUAUGAGGAUGGCAUCAUCAGAAGAGCUUCCAAGAACAGAGGAUUCUGUGAGGAGAGUCCUGUGUCCAGAACUUGACCCCAAUACUCCAGAACCACCUCGCUGGGCCUACAUACACAAACCUAUCAUCGUCAUGGUGAUGGGAGCCCUGAUGCUGGGCGCGGGUGCGGUGCUGAUUCUCCUCCACUCGUCUGGUGUGACGGACACCCCCGAUGCCACUGCCCCGGUCUGCCUGUCCAUUGGAAUGAUGUUUGUAGUGGUAGGGCUGGUCUGGAUACCCAUCCUGAAGGACAAGCAGAGACGUAUGGGGCUGGGGGCCAGGAGCACAAGCAGGUCCCUCAGCAGUGUGUGAUGGAAAGGGUAAGGGGUGAUCCAUUCUUCAGAUGUUCUGUUGGCUCAGUUGGACAUUUGGUUUAGUGUGGUUGGAAUCCUAAUUUUGUCUUUUAAAUAAUAUAGACUUUUAUUUAUUAGAGACACUUGGAUGUUUUUUUUAUUUAACUGGUUAUACUGUCAUUUACUGACAGCUGAAUUUUUAUUUUUCACAAGGGAACUUCAGAAAGGACCAUUCUUUUGCCUUUUUAAGAUGCACCUUAAAAUGAUUUCUAAAUAUCUGAUAAAGUAUCAUCAAAGAAGAUCAUGUCUCGUAAAGCUGUACUAAAAACCCAAGGUGAAUGUACUUUGAACAAUUUUACUGUGUGCUCUCAGUAUGUUGCGUCCCUGAGACUGCGUUCUCCAACAGUCCAAAGGCGCGUCAUCGCACAUCACCUUGUGUCCGCACCUGAGUCGGCACUUUUGGAAAUGACAUUACUUUCUGGACUUCAAAUAACUUUUUGAAAAGGAAAUAUUUAACUUCCGUUACCAUGGCGCAAAUACAAGAAAGGGAAGUGGAGGUCGCGGAGAGGAGAUAUCGGGGACUUGGUCGCUGUAAAUGUGCCUUUUGGUUUGCGGUGGGCCACGACGUAGUUGGAGUGUUUAUAUUGCUGACCGGGGUGUUUGCAGACAUAUUCUGCCACGACUUGUUCAUCUAUGCAGGGGCCGUCAUCAUCUUCCUCAGUCUCAUCUGGUGGGUGUUCUGGUUCUCGGGGAACAUCGAGGUGCCACCUGAGGAACUGGAGGAUGACGUUGGCUUGGUCAAACUAAAGAACAAAGGGAUCAGCGGUGUUGUCAGGAAGGUUUCCAACCGUCUCACUAACGGAAUUAGGAACUCAUUCCGAAGGAACGGGAGUGCCAAGGGAGAGCGGCCCCGAACAACGGAUGGAAAUGUUACCUCUAACCAGCAGCAAGCCCCUGUCACUCUUUCCGUUAUUUAUCAGAACACAACAGAAGCUUCAUCUAAUGAACUUACCAGACAGACACUGGCAAUAUGAUUUUACAGGUUAAGAGCAUUUUCUCUGGAUCCAAGAGCAGUCUGCAGGAACCCGAAGAUGCAUUGCACACUGUGACUGUGCCAACAAAGUAGCUGAUUAGAGUAAUGAGAUUGAUUGCACUCUGAGACUAUAUAAUUGUUCAUAACAUGGCAUUUGAUAGCGUCACUGUAAAUGUAACAUUAUUUUGUACAAUAACAUAUCUCUGCAUUUCUUUCUAAAGUCAUAUUUUGUGAAUUGUUUAUAAACUAUUUAUAGCAAAAUAAAAAUGUACAACAGA